AAAAGGAAAUUUGAAUAUAUAUAUAUAUAUUUAUAUUAUGUAAGUGUUAAAUAUCAAAUUKAAAYUAAU
rnacentral:tRNA from 1 species